GCGCAAUCGAGAUCACACUAACUGUAUGACUUACAUCUUUGUUUUCUUGUGCCUCGACAGAUUUAAACGUUUUAUUAAUCCAAUCUUUCACAUCGAAAGUAUCUUCGGAAAAUGCAGAUACAUCCUGAAAUCGGUUUAAGACGAAUACUAUAAAGGAAAGACCAUUUUGGAAGGUGCUGUUUCACCCCUUUGCGACAAUCAGCUCGGUUUCCUUGUGACACAGUUCACUUCUCUGGAUUCCGAUAAACUGCCUAGCAGAAGGUUGUAAAUCGAAGAGGAAAAGGGAGAGAAGAUGGAAAACAGCAUCAUAUCGGCAGUUUCCGGGCCCUUUGUUGAUCGCCACGCCUCCGAAACUGCGUUUGCGCGUGACGAUUUGCGCAACAGUUGGAAGUUGGAAUUUUGCCUCGAAAUAGCUUUAAUCUCGACGAAAAUAAGGAAAGCAGGCUGAGCAGAACUGCAGCGACUAUACUUUGCCCUUUUCUUUGCAAACAUUGAGCGCAUCAUCUGGUCGAGAAAAGGCCUAUCUUUCUCAGGUUGUGCUGCAUACGCAUGUGCUUCGUUUUUCCAUGUUACACGAAUUUAUUACAUACGUUAUUGAUCAUUUGAUACCUUAUUUAUAUUCAUUUUAUGACUAUAAGUUCUCUAAUCUUUUUUGUUAUCGAAUAUUUGAAACGAGAUCUUGGAGUUUCGAGUUCACAUGCGUAACAAGGGAAUUAUUCUUUCGCAUAAAGUUGAACUUUAUUACGGACGGCAAUCAGACCCAAUCAGUACGGCAUAUUAGAAGCGUAUGCAUUUAAUGUCGCGUAUAAAGUGCGUCGAUCAGAAGUCCAAUUUUGUAAUCUUGCUGUGCAUAUGAAUGCGUGCCGCUGAUAAAUUGUCCUUCAAUUGGACCAGGCUGAGACUUUUCAAAAAAGUACUAUUUCAUUUAUUCAUUAUAAACAAAUGAAAAAAAAUAUCAAUCAUUACAUUUUAGAAUAUGAA